UGAAUGGCGUUGAAGGAGAAAAGUAAGGCAUACACGAUCUUACAGGAAGGGGACGCCACCGACUGAGAGCGGCCCCGGAUACGGUUUGUCUGAAGUUCCCUCCGGAGCCGCAGGCUGAAAAUCUCAGUAGGCCGAGCCGGGGAUCCCGCCCGUUAUCUAAAGGGGCAGGUAUCGGAGUUAUUACUCCCGCACCUGUAGAAGUGGACGCUUUUGGGCGUCAAAUUGGGUGGUACCACGGAAUAGACCCCGUCCCUUUU
rnacentral:ncRNA from 1 species